ensembl:lncRNA
GGCUCCCCCAGAGCGGCGGCACGGACCCGCCGCCGGUGCUGCUGCUGCUGCUGUCGCUGUCGCUGCCGUCCCCGCUGCCGCUACCGCCGCCAUCCUCCGCCGCCGAGCUCUGAGGGGGGCACCGGCGGCAGCAGCCCCGGCCCCGAGGCCGCCCGCCCAGCGCCGUGUGCCUGUGGCGAGGGAGGCGGGACGGGGCGGGCACGGCGGCGCAGCCGCUCCUCCGCCGUGUGUCGCCAUGCUGGGGGCGGCACCGGGCGGCGGGACGGGCACGGCGGCGGGGACGGAGCCCGGGGGCCGGCUCCACACGCCGGGACUCUGCUGCCCUCAGCAGCCGCCGCCUCACGCACCCCGAAGCCCCCCCCCCAAGGGGCCGCGGCCGGCUGAGGAAAACUCCCCGUGUUAUCCCUAAGAGCUGUGCCCGGGCAGGGACUGACCCCAAGGGCUGGCCCUGUGAAUUGCUCCCCUGGGGGUAACAGGCUCCGUUUGCUCACCGCGGAACAAUUCGAGGCAAAAUGUUGCUUUGUUCUUCACCGUGCAGCUCACAGUUCAGUUUGCAAGAGGUGCCACCGCUUGGGAUGGAGGAGGAGGUUACCAACACUAACUACUCAUUCCCGCACCAGUUUCCUGGAUGGCUGAGCCACUUUAUUGACCAUUUUGUACAGGAAGAAAUAUGUGGAAAUAAUUUACCUGAAGAAAUGGCAAUUUGUGCUGUGCAUUCCACUACAUCUGCUAUGAAGCAGUACGAUAAGAAAUACACUUUAGUCUAACAGUUCUAAUGGUUCGGAGUGCUAGACCAUGAAUCCCUUCUGCACCUAGAGAGGCAUUUGUCUUUACAAAAAGCUCUAUCUGAACAAUUCAUGACAGUUAAUAAAGAAAGCACUUCGAGUCCUGACA